CCUGGCUAUACUAUAAUAUAGCUGGGCUACAAGCCAAUUGCUUAAGGAUAAAAUCCAUAAAAUACAACUGCGACAUUAAGUAACCUUAAAAAGUGAAAUAUGAAGUAGUGGUGACAUGAAAAGUAAAUGGCUAGGCCUU
rnacentral:ncRNA from 1 species